CCGCGUGAGGUGAUGACGGCCUUCGGGUUGUAAACCUCUUUUAGUAGGGAAGAAGCGAAAGUGACGGUACCUGCAGAAAAAGCACCGGCUAACUACGUGCCAGCAGCCGCGGUAAUACGUAGGGUGCAAGCGUUGUCCGGAAUUAUUGGGCGUAAAGAGCUCGUACGCGGUUUGUCGCGUCUGCUGUGAAAUCUGGGGGCUCAACCCCCAGCCUGCAGUGGGUACGGGCAGACUAGAGUGCGGUAGGGGAGAUUGGAAUUCCUGGUGUAACGGUGGAAUGCGCAGAUAUCAGGAGGAACACCGAUGGCGAAGGCAGAUCUCUGGGCCGUAACUGACGCUGAGGAGCGAAAGCAUGGGGAGCGAACAGGAUUAGAUACCCUGGUAGUCCAUGCCGUAAACGUUGGGAACUAGAUGUGGGGGCCAUUCCACGGUCUCCGUGUCGCACCUGACGCAUUAAGUUCCCCGCCUGGGGAGUACGGCCGCAAGGCUAAAACUCAAAGGAAUUGACGGGGGCCCGCACAAGCGGCGGAGCAUGCGGAUUAAUUCGAUGCAACGCGAAGAACCUUACCAAGGCUUGACAUAUACCGGAAACGUCCAGAGAUGGUCGCCCCGCA
rnacentral:rRNA from 1 species